CCUACGGGUGGCUGCAGUGGGGAAUAUUGCACAAUGGGGGAAACCCUGAUGCAGCAACGCCGCGGGAGUGAAGAAGGAUGUCGGGAUGUAAAGCUCUAUCAGCAGGGAAGAAGAUGACGGUACCUGACCAAGAAGCCCCGGCUAACUACGGGCCAGCAGCCGUGGUAAUACGGAGGGGGCAAGCCUGAUCCGGAUUUACUGGGGGUAAAGGGGGCGCAGACGGCAGUGCAAGUCUGGGGGGAAAGCCCGGGGCCCAACCCCGGAACUGCUCUGGAAACUGUGCGGCUAGAGUACUGGAGGGGCAGGCGGAAUUCCUAGUGUAGCGGUGAAAUGCGUAGAUAUUAGGAGGAACACCAGUGGCGAAGGCGGCCUGCUGGACAGUAACUGACGUUGAGGCUCGAAAGCGUGGGGAGCAAACAGGAUUAGAUACCCGAGUAGUC
rnacentral:rRNA from 1 species